rnacentral:tRNA from 1 species
GUGGUUGCGGCUCAGUGGUAGAGCACUUGCCUAGUAAGCAUGAGACACUGAGUUCGAGUCUCAGCACCACA